rnacentral:rRNA from 1 species
AUUGAACGCUGGCGGCAUGCCUUACACAUGCAAGUCGAACGGCAGCACGGGAGCAAUCCUGGUGGCGAGUGGCGAACGGGUGAGUAAUGUAUCGGAACGUGCCCAGUCGUGGGGGAUAACGUAGCGAAAGCUACGCUAAUACCGCAUACGAUCUAUGGAUGAAAGCGGGGGAUCGCAAGACCUCGCGCGAUUGGAGUUGCCGAUAUCAGAUUAGGUAGUUGGUGAGGUAAAGGCUCACCAAGCCGACGAUCUGUAGCUGGUCUGAGAGGACGACCAGCCACACUGGGACUGAGACACGGCCCAGACUCCUACGGGAGGCAGCAGUGGUGAAUUUGGACAAUGGGCGCAAGCCUGAUCCAGCAAUGCCGCGUGCAGGAUGAAGGCCUUCGGGUUGUAAACUGCUUUUGUACGGAGCGAAAAGGCUCUCUCUAAUACAGGGGGCUCAUGACGGUACCGUAAGAAUAAGCACCGGCUAACUACGUGCCAGCCGCCGCAGUAAAAC